UACGUAGGGUGCAAGCGUUAAUCGGAAUUACUGGGCGUAAAGCGUGCGCAGGCGGUUUUGUAAGUCUGUCGUGAAAGCCCCGGGCUCAACCUGGGAAUUGCGAUGGAGACUGCAAGGCUUGAAUCUGGCAGAGGGGGGUAGAAUUCCACGUGUAGCAGUGAAAUGCGUAGAGAUGUGGAGGAACACCGAUGGCGAAGGCAGCCCCCUGGGAUAACACUGACGCUCAGGCACGAAAGCGUGGGGAGCAAACAGG
rnacentral:rRNA from 1 species